AGCGUACACGGUGGAUGCCCUGGCAGUCAGAGGCGAUGAAGGACGUGCUAAUCUGCGAUAAGCGUCGGUAAGGUGAUAUGAACCGUUAUAACCGGCGAUUUCCGAAUGGGGAAACCCAGUGUGAUUCGUCACACUAUCAUUAACUGAAUCCAUAGGUUAAUGAGGCGAACCGGGGGAACUGAAACAUCUAAGUACCCCGAGGAAAAGAAAUCAACCGAGAUUCCCCCAGUAGCGGCGAGCGAACGGGGAGGAGCCCAGAGCCUGAAUCAGUGUGUGUGUUAGUGGAAGCGUCUGGAAAGGCGCGCGAUACAGGGUGACAGCCCCGUACACAAAAAUGCACAUGCUGUGAGCUCGAUGAGUAGGGCGGGACACGUGGUAUCCUGUCUGAAUAUGGGGGGACCAUCCUCCAAGGCUAAAUACUCCUGACUGACCGAUAGUGAACCAGUACCGUGAGGGAAAGGCGAAAAGAACCCCGGCGAGGGGAGUGAAAAAGAACCUGAAACCGUGUACGUACAAGCAGUGGGAGCCUCUUUAUGGGGUGACUGCGUACCUUUUGUAUAAUGGGUCAGCGACUUAUAUUCUGUAGCAAGGUUAACCGAAUAGGGGAGCCGAAGGGAAACCGAGUCUUAACUGGGCGUUAAGUUGCAGGGUAUAGACCCGAAACCCGGUGAUCUAGCCAUGGGCAGGUUGAAGGUUGGGUAACACUAACUGGAGGACCGAACCGACUAAUGUUGAAAAAUUAGCGGAUGACUUGUGGCUGGGGGUGAAAGGCCAAUCAAACCGGGAGAUAGCUGGUUCUCCCCGAAAGCUAUUUAGGUAGCGCCUCGUGAAUUCAUCUCCGGGGGUAGAGCACUGUUUCGGCAAGGGGGUCAUCCCGACUUACCAACCCGAUGCAAACUGCGAAUACCGGAGAAUGUUAUCACGGGAGACACACGGCGGGUGCUAACGUCCGUCGUGAAGAGGGAAACAACCCAGACCGCCAGCUAAGGUCCCAAAGUCAUGGUUAAGUGGGAAACGAUGUGGGAAGGCCCAGACAGCCAGGAUGUUGGCUUAGAAGCAGCCAUCAUUUAAAGAAAGCGUAAUAGCUCACUGGUCGAGUCGGCCUGCGCGGAAGAUGUAACGGGGCUAAACCAUGCACCGAAGCUGCGGCAGCGACACUAUGUGUUGUUGGGUAGGGGAGCGUUCUGUAAGCCUGCGAAGGUGUCCUGUGAGGGAUGCUGGAGGUAUCAGAAGUGCGAAUGCUGACAUAAGUAACGAUAAAGCGGGUGAAAAGCCCGCUCGCCGGAAGACCAAGGGUUCCUGUCCAACGUUAAUCGGGGCAGGGUGAGUCGACCCCUAAGGCGAGGCCGAAAGGCGUAGUCGAUGGGAAACAGGUUAAUAUUCCUGUACUUGGUGUUACUGCGAAGGGGGGACGGAGAAGGCUAUGUUGGCCGGGCGACGGUUGUCCCGGUUUAAGCGUGUAGGCUGGUUUUCCAGGCAAAUCCGGAAAAUCAAGGCUGAGGCGUGAUGACGAGGCACUACGGUGCUGAAGCAACAAAUGCCCUGCUUCCAGGAAAAGCCUCUAAGCAUCAGGUAACAUCAAAUCGUACCCCAAACCGACACAGGUGGUCAGGUAGAGAAUACCAAGGCGCUUGAGAGAACUCGGGUGAAGGAACUAGGCAAAAUGGUGCCGUAACUUCGGGAGAAGGCACGCUGAUAUGUAGGUGAAGUCCCUCGCGGAUGGAGCUGAAAUCAGUCGAAGAUACCAGCUGGCUGCAACUGUUUAUUAAAAACACAGCACUGUGCAAACACGAAAGUGGACGUAUACGGUGUGACGCCUGCCCGGUGCCGGAAGGUUAAUUGAUGGGGUUAGCGGUAACGCGAAGCUCUUGAUCGAAGCCCCGGUAAACGGCGGCCGUAACUAUAACGGUCCUAAGGUAGCGAAAUUCCUUGUCGGGUAAGUUCCGACCUGCACGAAUGGCGUAAUGAUGGCCAGGCUGUCUCCACCCGAGACUCAGUGAAAUUGAACUCGCUGUGAAGAUGCAGUGUACCCGCGGCAAGACGGAAAGACCCCGUGAACCUUUACUAUAGCUUGACACUGAACAUUGAGCCUUGAUGUGUAGGAUAGGUGGGAGGCUUUGAAGUGUGGACGCCAGUCUGCAUGGAGCCGACCUUGAAAUACCACCCUUUAAUGUUUGAUGUUCUAACGUUGGCCCCUGAUCGGGGUUGCGGACAGUGUCUGGUGGGUAGUUUGACUGGGGCGGUCUCCUCCUAAAGAGUAACGGAGGAGCACGAAGGUUGGCUAAUCCUGGUCGGACAUCAGGAGGUUAGUGCAAUGGCAUAAGCCAGCUUGACUGCGAGCGUGACGGCGCGAGCAGGUGCGAAAGCAGGUCAUAGUGAUCCGGUGGUUCUGAAUGGAAGGGCCAUCGCUCAACGGAUAAAAGGUACUCCGGGGAUAACAGGCUGAUACCGCCCAAGAGUUCAUAUCGACGGCGGUGUUUGGCACCUCGAUGUCGGCUCAUCACAUCCUGGGGCUGAAGUAGGUCCCAAGGGUAUGGCUGUUCGCCAUUUAAAGUGGUACGCGAGCUGGGUUUAGAACGUCGUGAGACAGUUCGGUCCCUAUCUGCCGUGGGCGCUGGAGAACUGAGGGGGGCUGCUCCUAGUACGAGAGGACCGGAGUGGACGCAUCACUGGUGUUCGGGUUGUCAUGCCAAUGGCACUGCCCGGUAGCUAAAUGCGGAAGAGAUAAGUGCUGAAAGCAUCUAAGCACGAAACUUGCCCCGAGAUGAGUUCU
rnacentral:rRNA from 1 species